UACAGAGGUCCCGAGCGUUGUUCGGAUUUAUUGGGCGUAAAGGGUGCGUAGGCGGCGGAGUAAGUUGGGUGUGAAAUCCCGGGGCUCAACCUCGGAAUGGCAUUCAAUACUGCUUCGCUAGAGUACUGGAGAGGAGGCUGGAAUUUACGGUGCAGCAGUGAAAUGCGUAGAUAUCGUAAGGAAGGCCGGUGGCGAAAGCGAGCCUCUGGACAGUUACUGACGCUGAUGCACGAAGGUCAGGGGAGCAAACGGG
rnacentral:rRNA from 1 species